GAUGAACGCUGGCGGCGUGCUUAACACAUGCAAGUCGAACGAUGAAGCCCAGCUUGCUGGGUGGAUUAGUGGCGAACGGGUGAGUAACACGUGAGUAACCUGCCCUUAACUCUGGGAUAAGCCUGGGAAACUGGGUCUAAUACCGGAUAGGAGCGCCUACCGCACGGUGGGUGUUGGAAAGAUUUAUCGGUUUUGGAUGGACUCGCGGCCUAUCAGCUUGUUGGUGGGGUAAUGGCUCACCAAGGCGACGACGGGUAGCCGGCCUGAGAGGGUGACCGGCCACACUGGGACUGAGACACGGCCCAGACUCCUACGGGAGGCAGCAGUGGGGAAUAUUGCACAAUGGGCGAAAGCCUGAUGCAGCGACGCCGCGUGAGGGAUGACGGCCUUCGGGUUGUAAACCUCUUUCAGUAGGGAAGAAGCGAAAGUGACGGUACCUGCAGAAGAAGCACCGGCUAACUACGUG
rnacentral:rRNA from 1 species